rnacentral:misc_RNA from 1 species
UCCUUUGGGUUAGGAAUUAUCUCCAUCUUCAGUGCAUCAGCCGCAACAAGCCUUUUAAUAGCUGACAAGCUCACCCACAAAUUGUUUGUGUUGAAAAUUUUAAACUUCUCUAUUGACUUGAACUCAUUGACAUGCUUAUCAGGGACUUGUGCAAUCUCCAAUAGCUGAACUUUCCCUUCAUAAGAGAUGAGAGUACCACCCUUUACAUCAGCCAGGGUUUUGGGUGU